rnacentral:rRNA from 1 species
GACGAACGCUGGCGGCGUGCCUAAUACAUGCAAGUCGAACGAGUGGCGGACGGGUGAGUAAUGUCUGGGAAACGGCCCGAUGCAGGGGGAGAACUACUGGACACGGAAGCUAAUACCGCAUACCAUCGGAUGUGCCCAGAUGGGAUUAGCUGGUAGGUGGGGUAACGGCUCACCUAGGCGACGAUCCCUAGCUGGUCUGAGAGGAGGAACAGCCACACUGGAACUGAGACACGGUCCAGACUCCUACGGGAGGCAGCAGUGGGGAAUAUUGCACAAUGGGCGCAAGCCUGAUGCAGCCAUGCCGCGUGUAUGAAGAAGGCCUUCGGGUUGUAAAGUACUUUCAGCGAGGAGGCGUUACUCGCAGAAGAAGCACCGGCUAACUCCGUGCCAGCAGCCGCGGUAAUUC